ensembl:lncRNA TESHL testicular germ cell expressed HSF2 interacting lncRNA
GGGGGGGCACAUGGAGAGGGCUUUCUCGUCGCAGGGCUCGCAGUGCACGAAGGAGCCCAGGCUCUGGGCCGGCCCCGCAUAGGCGGCCAGCAGCAGGAGGACCGCGCUGCCAGCGGUGCGCGGCGCCGCAGAACAGGUUCUACGCGAAGUCCGGAGAAGGGUGAAAACGGAGGAGGGGUAAUGAAAAGGAGCAAAAAAGGGAAAAAGCCCACACUGCUUUGCAGCUCUUUCCUAGCUCUUUUCCCCUGCAGAAGUUUCCAAAGAGACUACGGGGCUCCGGGAGAGCAGGCGCUUUUAAAUAGCCGGCCCCUGGCUGCCAGCCAGUUUGUAGCUGCAAUUUGAGCUUCCCAACACCCAACUCAGACAGGGUUUCACCAUGUUGGCCAGGCUGGUCUUGAAAUCCUGACCUUGUGAUCCACCCACCUUGGCCCCCCAAAGUGCUGGGAUUACAGUCAUGAGCCACCGCGCCCAGCUGAAGAUUUUGUUAAAAGAGAAGUAGAGUGGGACAGAUAACAGCUCACCUCCCAUGCAUGCCAUCCCCGCAUCCUCUUCCCUGGACAGAGGUAGUCAGUGUCCUGAAAUAGCUCUGUAUCCUUUCUGCACAAUAUUUUUCUAGGUUUUAUGUGUAGUUUCUCAUAGAACAGAAUUAUAGUGAUUUUUGAGGGUAAAACCAUGUGCUACUUUAGAGUUAAUUUUGUAGUGGUGCUUGCAGUGGUGGCAAUUUAACUAGAGUCUAAAUUGACCCUGAGGCUGGCUGUUAAAGGAGCCGGAGCCAGCUGUGACGCAGAGUGAUUUAUAUCCCGAUGUGAGCCGCAUAUAAGUUAAUAGCUGCACGAAUUGAUGUUAAGGAGGCUUCUGGAGCAGUUCCAGACAGAUAGGGCAGAGCAGGGCAGGCUCCAUAAAUACUGUUUCUGGUUGGAGCCCUUCUGUCUUCUUGGAUCAUGGGAUCUGGCAUGUUCCUACAAUGGACCGCUCAGAAGCUGUUUCAAUUUUGGAAAAUGAGAUUAACCAGGAAAAGUGAUCUGUUGUGACUUAGAGACAGUGUUGGUAGCACCAGAUCUAGGUGGGAGAGAGAUAGGGUAGGUAGAAAAAAUGGAAUCACAUGGAAAAAGAGGAGAGAGAGAGAGAGAGUGUUAACUACUUGAAGCAGGUUUAAUAUGAUUCAUAUGAACCGUGAAAAGGCCAAGUAAAAUCACAGUGCAUGGUUAGCAACUGAGAUUUCACACAGUUUGGGAGGGAGAAGUGGUAAGAGCUAGCUUACCACUGUUAGUGCAGAGGGUAAAUUUGUGUAAAUUAGGAAAAGAUGACCUUCCUCAAGAUACUUUACUUCUAUUCAUCAGAAUAUUGUUAUAAAAUACAGAUUCUGUUAGGACAGGAAACUUUACUGCCUCUUCCAGGAAAUUGUCAUAAUGAAUGUACCUGUCUGUGUCUGCUCUGUGAAUAGCACCACUUAAACGGGGUUCUUGCUGUGUCGUACACAAUCUGCACAGCUCUAUGCAAUGGCCCUGGUUGGAAGAGCUAAACUUCAUAUCUAAACUAGCAGGAAACACUGCUUUUCUACUAGUGUGGAAAGCAUGGGUCCAGUGACGUGAUUUGAUCCGUUACUGGGGCUAAGGGAUAGUCCUGAAACAUUUAAAGCAGCUGCCUCUGGCCGUGUUCCCAGCUGGGUCAAUCUAAACCCCUAUGCCCUUCUUUCCUUAGAGAAAUCAAGCUUUUCCAUGCCUCCACACCUGUGCACAAACUCUUCAUUCUGACAGGAACACUUUUCUUCUUCACUGCUAACUGGUGAGCUGCUAAUUGUCAUUAAAAACCUGGAUGAAAUCACAUCUACUUUGGAAGAUUUUGCUGACUCUCGUGUGUGAUUUCCUAAGUGCAUCUUGCUAGUGCCCCUGGAAUCCUCUGUGUCUUCUUUAGUAAAAUAGGGGGAAAAUAUUGUCUGCUUCAAAGGGUUGUCGUGGGACUUGAGUGAGGCAGUCCGUGUAUAUCUUGUUAGUGCUUAAUCAAUAUUACCUGCUGUAGUCCCAUCUUCCCCAUUAAACUGAGGAUCUUGAAGGGCCCCAGGUUUUAUUCAUCUUGGUUUUCCUCCUAUCCUUACCUUUUGGACAUGAGCCCUUAGUAUAGUUUCUAGCACAGAAGGCACUUAAUACAUUAUUUUUAACUGAAAAACAUUGAGUGUGGUGGCUCUUGCCUAUUAUCUCAGCACUUUGAGAAGCCGAGGUGGGGAGAUCACCUGAGGCCAGGAGUUCAAGACCAGCCUAGGCAACAUGGUAAAACCCUGUCUCUACAAAAAAUACAAAAAUUAGCUGGGCAUGGUAGCCCACGCCUGUAGUCCCAGCUGCUCAGGAGGCUGGGGUGGGAUGAUCACCCAAGCCUAGGGAGGUCAAGGCUGCAGUGAGCCGUGAUUGCGUCACUGCACUCCAUCUUGGGUGACAGAGUUUGACCCUGUCUUAAAAAAACAAAAAGAAAGAAAAAUAUUUACCACCCCUGAAUUAUUCCAGCGUCUUCCAACAUCUUCCUAAACGCCUGAGUUUAUCUUUGCAUCAUUUUGCCGGACUGUUGGUAAUGUCUAUGUUGAUGUGUUUCUAUUAUGUUCUUUCAUAUACUAGUCUGGUCAAUCCUGUAUAUUGCAAAUGUAGCUUAUAAACUCUUUACAAAAAUUCCAAUAGAGCCCUAUUGUUGGACUUAAAAUAUGUUAAUUGUAAUGUAACUUAAAUAUGUACAAACAUUUUAAGGUGUAUGCUCUGUAUGCUAACCUCAC